CCUACGGGAGGCAGCAGUGGGGAAUAUUGCACAAUGGGCGCAAGCCUGAUGCAGCCAUGCCGCGUGUAUGAAGAAGGCCUUAGGGUUGUAAAGUACUUUCAGCGGGGAGGAAGGGUCUGUGGUUAAUAACCGCAGUCAUUGACGUUACCCGCAGAAGAAGCACCGGCUAACUCCGUGCCAGCAGCCGCGGUAAUACGGAGGGUGCAAGCGUUAAUCGGAAUUACUGGGCGUAAAGCGCACGCAGGCGGUCUGUCAAGUCGGAUGUGAAAUCCCCGGGCUUAACCCGGGAACGGCAUUCGAAACUGUCAGGCUGGAGUCUCGUAGAGGGGGGUAGAAUUCCAGGUGUAGCGGUGAAAUGCGUAGAGAUCUGGAGGAAUACCGGUGGCGAAGGCGCCCCCCUGGACGAAGACUGACGCUCAGGUGCGAAAGCGUGGGGAGCAAACAGGAUUAGAUACCCCAGUAGUC
rnacentral:rRNA from 1 species